CGCUUCGUGGUUCGCAAACCUCCCACGCAAAAAAACUAAGGAAUU
rnacentral:ncRNA from 2 species